rnacentral:pre_miRNA from 1 species
CUACUACUCCCUCCGUCCGAAAAUACUUGUCAUUGAAAUGGAUGUAUCUAGAUGUAUUUUAGUUCUAGACACAUCCAUUUUGAUGACAAGUAAUUCCGGAUGAAGGGAGUAUUAU